rnacentral:rRNA from 1 species
UACGAAGGGGGCUAGCGUUGCUCGGAAUCACUGGGCGUAAAGCGCACGUAGGCGGAUUGCUAAGUCAGGGGUGAAAUCCUGGAGCUCAACUCCAGAACUGCCUUUGAUACUGGCGAUCUUGAGUCCGGGAGAGGUGAGUGGAACUGCGAGUGUAGAGGUGAAAUUCGUAGAUAUUCGCAAGAACACCAGUGGCGAAGGCGGCUCACUGGCCCGGUACUGACGCUGAGGCGCGAAAGCGUGGGUAGCAAACAGG